GAUACAAACAACCAAGAUUAGGACCACCGCAGCGGCGGGAUAAGGUCAAGAGGCGAAUAAUCUCAACAAGCGGAACAAAAGCCUCCGACGGAAAGUCUCGACCGAGCAACGCCGCGUGGAGUGAUGAAGGUUUUCGGAUCGUAAAGCUUCUGUUGUUAGGGAGACAAGUACCGUUCGAAUAGGGCCGGUACCUUGACGGUACCUAACCAGAAAUGUCCACGGCCUAACUACGUGCCAGCAGCCGCGGUAAUACGUUAGGUGGCAAGCGUUGUCCGAAAUUAAUUGGCGUAAAGGGCUCGCAGGCGGUUUUCUUAAGUCUGAUGUGAAAGCCCCCGGCUCACCCGGGGAGGGUCAUUGGAAACUGGGGAACUUGAGUGCAGAAGAGGAGAGUGGAAUUCCACGUGUAGCGGUGAAAUGCGUAGAGAUGUGGAGGAACACCAGUGGCGAAGGCGACUCUCUGGUCUGUAACUGACGCUGAGGAGCGAAAGCGUGGGGAGCGAACAGGAUUAGAUACCCUGGUAGUCCACGCCGUAAACGAUGAGUGCUAAGUGUUAGGGGGUUUCCGCCCCUUAGUGCUGCAGCUAACGCAUUAAGCACUCCGCCUGGGGAGUACGGUCGCAAGACUGAAACUCAAAGGAAUUGACGGGGGCCCGCACAAGCGGUGGAGCAUGUGGUUUAAUUCGAAGCAACGCGAAGAACCUUACCAGGUCUUGACAUCCUCUGACAAUCCUAGAGAUAGGACGUCCCCUUCGGGGGCAGAGUGACAGGUGGUGCAUGGUUGUCGUCAGCUCGUGUCGUGAGAUGUUGGGUUAAGUCCCGCAACGAGCGCAACCCUUGAUCUUAGUUGCCAGCAUUCAGUUGGGCACUCUAAGGUGACUGCCGGUGACAAACCGGAGGAAGGUGGGGAUGACGUCAAAUCAUCAUGCCCCUUAUGACCUGGGCUACACACGUGCUACAAUGGACAGAACAAAGGGCAGCGAAACCGCGAGGUUAAGCCAAUCCCACAAAUCUGUUCUCAGUUCGGAUCGCAGUCUGCAACUCGACUGCGUGAAGCUGGAAUCGCUAGUAAUCGCGGAUCAGCAUGCCGCGGGGAAUACGUUCCCGGGCCUUGUACACACCGCCCGUCACACCACGAGAGUUUGUAACAACAUAAAGCGGGUUGG
rnacentral:rRNA from 1 species